rnacentral:rRNA from 1 species
UGGUGGUGCAUGGCCGUUCUUAGUUGGUGGGUUGCCUUGUCAGGUUGAUUCCGGUAACGAACGAGACCUCAGCCUGCUAAAUAGUCACUGUCGCUCCGGCGGCUGGCCGACUUCUUAGAGGGACUAUUGGCGUUUAGCCAAUGGAAGUAUGAGGCAAUAACAGGUCUGUGAUGCCCUUAGAUGUUCUGGGCCGCACGCGCGCUACACUGACGCGUUCAACGAGCCUAUCCUUGACCGAGAGGUCCGGGUAAUCUUUGAAAACGCGUCGUGAUGGGGAUAGAUCAUUGCAAUUAUUGGUCUUCAACGAGGAAUGCCUAGUAAGCGCGAGUCAUCAGCUCGCGUUGAUUACGUCCCUGCCCUUUGUACACACCGCCCGUCGCUCCUACCGAUUGGGUGUGCUGGUGAAGUGUUCGGAUUGGCGAGAGGCGGUGGCAACACUGUCUCCUGCCGGAGGAAGUUCAUUAAACCCUCCCACCUAGAGGAAGGAGAAGUCUAACUGC